AGGACGAACGCUGGCGGCGUGCCUAACACAUGCAAGUCGAACGGGGAUUUGUUUCGGCAGAAUCCUAGUGGCGAACGGGUGAGUAACGCGUAGGCAACCUGCCCUCCGGCCGGGGGACAACACUCCGAAAGGGGUGCUAAUACCGGAUACGAAGUCUGUGCCGCAUGGUACGGAUUUGAAAGAUGGCCUCUAUUUAUAAGCUAUCGCCGGGGGAUGGGCCUGCGUCCGAUUAGCUGGUUGGUGGGGUAACGGCCUACCAAGGCGACGAUCGGUAGCCGGUCUGAGAGGAUGAACGGCCACAUUGGGACUGAGACACGGCCCAGACUCCUACGGGAGGCAGCAGUGGGGAAUCUUCCGCAAUGGGCGCAAGCCUGACGGAGCAACGCCGCGUGAGUGAGGAAGUUCUUCGGAACGUAAAGCUCUGUUGUUCCUGACGAACCUCCCUUCUAUCAACAACGGAGGGGACUGACGGUAGGGAACGAGGAAGCCACGGCUAACUACGUGCCAGCCGCUGC
rnacentral:rRNA from 1 species